CCUACGGGAGGCAGCAGUGAGGAAUAUUGGUCAAUGGCCGUAAGGCUGAACCAGCCAAGUCGCGUGAAGGAAGAAGGAUCUAUGGUUUGUAAACUUCUUUUAUAGGGGAAUAAAGGUAUCCACGUGUGGAUAUUUGCAUGUACCCUAUGAAUAAGCAUCGGCUAACUCCGUGCCAGCAGCCGCGGUAAUACGGAGGAUGCGAGCGUUAUCCGGAUUUAGUGGGUUUAAAGGGUGCGUAGGUUGUUUUUUAAGUCAGCGGUGAAAGUUUGUGGCUCAACCAUAAGAUUGCCGUUGAAACUGGAAGACUUGAGUGUGUUUGAGGUAGGCGGAAUGCGUGGUGUAGCGGUGAAAUGCAUAGAUAUCACGCAGAACUCCGAUUGCGAAGGCAGCUUACUAAGCCAUAACUGACACUGAAGCACGAAAGCGUGGGGAUCAAACAGGAUUAGAUACCCCAGUAGUC
rnacentral:rRNA from 1 species